UAUAACAAGUUUCUCAUAACUACAUUUUGGAAGAAAAAAAACUGUUUUGAUCCCUUACAAAUUAAUUAAUAUUAUCCGGCGCCAAAAAAUGUCUUUGAUAAUUAAUAAUCUUUUGAAAAUGUCAUUUUUAAUGAAGACUGCAGCUAAUUUUUUUUAUAGAAUUUAAAAUUUUUGAUCAAGUAUACAAUUCCUAAAGACUCAAAUCUAAAAAUUCAAAAUUUAAACAUGUUGGGAGCUUAUUUUUUGGGUUUCUUUUUUUCCCUGUUAAUUCUUGUUUCCAUGAGUGGAAUCCGGGCGGUCCCUAUGCCUGCUCUUAAUGACUCCGAUGUUCCUACAAGUUUGGAUUUAUUAAGGAGCAGGAAUACGGAGCCUCCUUCUAUUUAUCUAAAUUCAGUUGGAACGGAGCCCACAAUAAAUCUAAGAGCUGAAAGUGAGGUAACAGAAGGAUUUCACGAAGGAUGCGAAGGAGCGAACGAUAAAACGGCUGCACCUUCAGGAGUCGGACGCUUGAUGCCUCCGUUCUAUAUGAUUAUAAAACAAAUUCUGAAUUAAAAAUUAUUUCAAAAUAUGUUCCUACAAUACGA